AGGGUGUAUAUAUAGCCAAUGAACGACAGCGUUACAUGCUGAUUACGGAGUGUAAACCUUGCCACGUAUAUUUAUUAUUCAGUGUGUAUCAGCAAUCUGACAACAAAUAUCUCAAGAUGAGCGAGGCAGACGAAAAAUAUUAUAAAGACGAAUACGAUAACUACAACGUUGAACAGGACAAGGUUGUCCACUCCAGUCACAGUGGUAAAGGCCGGACAAAGAAAGAAGUUGACCAACACCAUCAUACCGACCCCAGCGGACACACCAGAAAAAACGUCCAGAAACUUGUCAACAAUUCACACAAUCAGCGGGACCCUCCAAAACAAUAACGAUUAUGACAUAUCCAGCCAAGCUGAUUUACCAAACAAACCGAGAUUAUGGACAAGGAUGUUGGACUCCGUACAAAUGUUGAGGGUCGGUCUCUCCACGUGAUUGGAAUAACACGUGACAUAUACAACUGGCCAAUUAAAUUGACUUGAUUACCUAUUUGGAGGUAACCAGAUCGCCAAUCACGUGAUCUCUUUAAUUGUGAAACUGUCUGAUGCAGUUCUUAAUUUAUAUGGAGAGGAACCUGGAGAUAACUCCGGAAUCGUCUCAAGAAGAUGAAAAGAUGACACUGUAUUUACUUUGUUGUUAAAAGUUUUCUGUAGAA